rnacentral:rRNA from 1 species
AGUAAAAGUCGUAACAAGGUUUCCGUAGGUGAACCUGCGGAAGGAUCAUUAUCGAGUUUUGAAACGGGUUGUAGCUGUCCUUCGCAAGAAGGUACGUGCACGCCUUGCUCAUCCACUCUCAAACCCCUGUGCACUUUUUGUAGGCUUGGUGGGAUAGGCUGACUUCGGUCGGCUUUGAAAGCCUCGCCUAUGUAUUAAAACAAACGCUUCAGUUUAGAAUGUAACCUUGCAUAAUAAGCAAAUAAAUACAACUUUCAGCAACGGAUCUCUUGGCUCUCGCAUCGAUGAAGAACGCAGCGAAAUGCGAUAAGUAAUGUGAAUUGCAGAAUUCAGUGAAUCAUCGAAUCUUUGAACGCACCUUGCGCUCCUUGGUAUUCCGAGGAGCAUGCCUGUUUGAGUGUCAUGGUAUCAUCAACCUUCAACACUUUUGUGUCUGUAGGCUUGGAAUUGGAGGUCGUGUCGGCGUUCGCGUCGGCUCCUCUGAAAUGCAUUAGCGUGAAUCUUACGAAUCGCCCUCGGUGUGAUAAUUUCUACGCCGUAGACGUGCAGUAUAUAGUGUUCGUGCUUACAACCGUCUGCAAAGACAAUAUCAUUUUGACAAUCUGACCUCAAAUCAGGUAGGACUACCCGCUGAACUUUAGCAUAUCAAUAAGCGGAGGA